rnacentral:rRNA from 1 species
GCUCAGGACGAACGCUGGCGGCGUGCUUAACACAUGCAAGUCGAACGAAGAGCGAUGGAAGCUUGCUUCUAUCAAUCUUAGUGGCGAACGGGUGAGUAACGCGUAAUCAACCUGCCCUUCAGAGGGGGACAACAGUUGGAAACGACUGCUAAUACCGCAUACGAUCUAAUCUCGGCAUCGAGGAUAGAUGAAAGGUGGCCUCUACAUGUAAGCUAUCACUGAAGGAGGGGAUUGCGUCUGAUUAGCUAGUUGGAGGGGUAACGGCCCACCAAGGCGAUGAUCAGUAGCCGGUCUGAGAGGAUGAACGGCCACAUUGGGACUGAGACACGGCCCAGACUCCUACGGGAGGCAGCAGUA